rnacentral:rRNA from 1 species
AUACGUAGGGAGCAAGCGUUGUUCGGAUUUACUGGGCGUAAAGGGCGCGUAGGCGGCGCGGUAAGUCACUUGUGAAAUCUCUGAGCUUAACUCAGAACGGCCAAGUGAUACUGCAGUGCUAGAGUGCAGAAGGGGCAAUCGGAAUUCUUGGUGUAGCGGUGAAAUGCGUAGAUAUCAAGAGGAACACCUGAGGUGAAGACGGGUUGCUGGGCUGACACUGACGCUGAGGCGCGAAAGCCAGGGGAGCAAACC